rnacentral:lncRNA from 1 species
GGGUGCAUCUAAAAAUUUUCUAUAACAACUUAAUAAAAAUUAGAUUUUUAUCUGAUAUAAAGUAAAAUAGAGACCAAAUCUCUAAAGAUUCUGAAUCUAAAGCCUUGCGUAGGUCUGAAUCAACAAACCCUUUACUUCGCAUGCAUGCCAAACUUUGCAGGAAAAUGAGAUGAAGCCUCGGAUUGAAGCACCUUCACAAGGCAACAAGAAAGAGGAGAGAGGACUCUUGAUGUGAUACCUCACACCAAGAUCUGGGAUGCCUAAACCUUCAUCAUGCCAAGAGGUGGGAUGCCCACUCUUAGCACACGUCAAGAGAGAAGGGAC